rnacentral:rRNA from 1 species
GACAGAGGGUGCAAACGUUGUUCGGAAUUACUGGGCGUAAAGCGCGUGUAGGCGGCAAGGCAUGUCGGGUGUGAAAUCCCUCGGCUCAACUGAGGAAGUGCGCCCGAAACUGCAGAGCUUGAGUACCGGAGAGGAUGGCGGAAUUCCCCAAGUAGAGGUGAAAUUCGUAGAUAUGGGGAGGAACACCGGUGGCGAAGGCGGCCAUCUGGACGGAUACUGACGCUGAGACGCGAAAGCGUGGGGAGCAAACAGG